CCUACGGGAGGCAGCAGUGGGGAAUCUUGCGCAAUGGGCGAAAGCCUGACGCAGCCAUGCCGCGUGAAUGAUGAAGGUCUUAGGAUUGUAAAAUUCUUUCACCGGGGACGAUAAUGACGGUACCCGGAGAAGAAGCCCCGGCUAACUUCGUGCCAGCAGCCGCGGUAAUACGAAGGGGGGCUAGCGUUGCUCGGAAUUACUGGGCGUAAAGGGAGCGUAGGCGGAUAGUUUAGUCAGAGGUGAAGGCCCAGGGCUCAACCUUGGAAUUGCCUUUGAUACUGGCUAUCUUGAGUAUGGGAGAGGUUAGCGGAACUCCGAGUGUAGAGGUGAAAUUCGUAGAUAUUCGGAAGAACACCAGUGGCGAAGGCGGCUAACUGGCCCAUUACUGACGCUGAGGCUCGAAAGCGUGGGGAGCAAACAGGAUUAGAUACCCUGGUAGUCCACGCCGUAAACGAUGAGUGCUAGUUGUCGGCAUGCAUGCAUGUCGGUGACGCGAGCGUAACGACAUUAAGUACACCUCCGCCGUCGGGGAGGUACGGUCGGCGAAGAAGUUAAAACUAACGAAAGGAAAGUUAGACGGCGUGAGACGUACGCCGAACGGACGACGACGAGGGAGGUUAGG
rnacentral:rRNA from 1 species